UGCAUCAGCCGGGAAUCGAACCCUGGGCGCCCGCGUGGCAGGCGAGCAUUUUACCACUGAACCAAAAGC
rnacentral:tRNA from 1 species